AGUGAACGCUGGCGGUAGGCCUAACACAUGCAAGUCGAACGGCAGCACAGUAAGAGCUUGCUCUUACGGGUGGCGAGUGGCGGACGGGUGAGGAAUACAUCGGAAUCUACUUUUUCGUGGGGGAUAACGUAGGGAAACUUACGCUAAUACCGCAUACGACCUACGGGUGAAAGCAGGGGAUCUUCGGACCUUGCGCGUUUGAAUGAGCCGAAGUCGGAUUAGCUAGUUGGCGGGGUAAAGGCCCACCAAGGCGACGAUCCGUAGCUGGUCUGAGAGGAUGAUCAGCCACACUGGAACUGAGGCACGGUCCAGACUCCUACGGGAGGCAGCAGUGUGGAAUAUGCGGCAGUGGGCGCAAGCCUGAUCCAGCCAUACGGCGUGGGUGGAGAAGGCCUUCGGGUUGUAAAGCCCUUUUGGUGGGAAAGAAAAGCAGCAGGUUAAUACGCCGCUGUGCUGACGGUACCCAAAGAAUAAGCACCGGCUAACUUCGUG
rnacentral:rRNA from 1 species